rnacentral:rRNA from 1 species
UACGUAGGGUGCAAGCGUUGUCCGGAAUUAUUGGGCGUAAAGAUCUCGUAGGCGGCCUGUCACGUCGACUGUGAAAACCCGAGGCUCAACCUCGGGCCUGCAGUCGAUACGGGCAGGCUAGAGUUCGGUAGGGGAGACUGGAAUUCCUGGUGUAGCGGUGAAAUGCGCAGAUAUCAGGAGGAACACCGGUGGCGAAGGCGGGUCUCUGGGCCGAAACUGACGCUGAGGAGCGAAAGCGUGGGGAGCAAACAGG